rnacentral:rRNA from 1 species
UAUGGAGAGUUUGAUCCUGGAUCAGGAUGAACGCUGGCGGCGUGCGUAAUACAUGCAAGUCGAGCGAACUGAAGAGUAGCUUGCUCCUUUGACGUUAGCGGCGGACGGGUGAGUAACACGUGGGUAACCUACCUAUAAGCCUGGAAUAACUCCGGGAAACCGGGGCUAAUGCCGGAUAACAUGUUGAACCGCAUGGUUCUACAGUGAAAGACGGUCUUGCUGUCACUUAUAGAUGGACCCGCGCCGUAUUAGCUAGUUGGUGGGGUAACGGCCUACCAAGGCGACGAUACGUAGCCGACCUGAGAGGGUGAUCGGCCACACUGGAACUGAGACACGGUCCAGACUCCUACGGGAGGCAGCAGU